rnacentral:piRNA from 1 species
UGCCACCACUGGACUGCACUCCCAAC